rnacentral:rRNA from 1 species
GAUGAACGCUGGCGGCGUGCCUAAUACAUGCAAGUCGAGCGAACAGACGAGGAGCUUGCUCCUCUGACGUUAGCGGCGGACGGGUGAGUAACACGUGGAUAACCUACCUAUAAGACUGGGAUAACUUCGGGAAACCGGAGCUAAUACCGGAUAAUAUAUUGAACCGCAUGGUUCAAUAGUGAAAGACGGUUUUGCUGUCACUUAUAGAUGGUUCCGCGCCGGAUUAGCUAGUUGGUAGGGUAACGGCAUACCAAGGCAACGAUGCGUAGCCGACCUGCGAGGAGGUGCGGUGGCAAUGGAAGGGGGACACGGUCAGGAGGCCUACGGGAGGGAGGAGUGGGGAAUGGUGGACAAUGGGCGAGAGCCUGAUCAAACGGGGCGGCGUGGGUGAAGAAGGUCUUCGGAUUGUAAAGCACGUUAAGUGGGGAGAAAGGGCAGUAGGUUAAGACCUUGCUGUCUUGACGGUACCAAAAAAAGAAGCACCGGCUAACUACGUG